rnacentral:sRNA from 1 species
AUUGAAUGUGUUUUAAUUGGCACCAUGCCAGAUUCUUUGCAUGGACUGUCUUAUGUAAUCUUCACAGCAGAAAAUAUGCAUUAUUACUCUCACUUUUCAGAUGAGGAAACUGAGGCUGGGCAAGAGGAAGUCAUUUGCCAAAAGUAUCGCAGGUAGUAAAUGGUCAGUGCAGACAUCCAAUGUGGCUUUGUGCGUCUGAUUCAGUGUCUGUGCUCAUAACCACUUUCUUAUCCCUGAGCUCUGGGCCAAGUCUUAGGAAUUAGAUAUGUGAUUGAGGGAAACUAUAUUUACAAGGGGUCUGCUCUGUGUUCUGUGCCUGAUACCAACACAUAUUAUCUCACUCUGCAAGGCCAGUGUCACUGUCCCCCACUAACAGGGAAGAAAACUAGAGAUCAGUGGGCCCGACGUAGGAGCUUCCUCUUCCGUCUUCUGCUGCAAAUGUUCCUUGAGUCCCUAGAAGUAGAGAUUCUGAUUCCAAGGGCCUAGCAUGGUUCUGAUGGGCAUCCAGGGUCGGGAAUCACCACCCUAGAUAAAGUACUUUCUCUCUGCAGGUACUACCCCAGUGGAGAUGCCUUUGCUUCAGGGUCAGAUGAUGCUACGUGUCGCCUCUAUGACCUGCGGGCAGACAGGGAGGUUGCCAUCUAUUCCAAAGAAAGUAUCAUAUUUGGAGCAUCCAGCGUGGACUUCUCCCUCAGUGGUCGCCUGCUGUUUGCUGGAUACAAUGAUUACACUAUCAACGUCUGGGAUGUUCUCAAGGGGUCCCGGGUCUCCAUCCUGUUUGGACAUGAAAAUCGCGUUAGCACUCUGCGAGUUUCUCCCGAUGGGACUGCUUUCUGCUCUGGAUCAUGGGAUCAUACCCUCAGAGUCUGGGCCUAAUCAUCUUCUGACAAUGCACUCAUGUAUACCUGAGAAUUUGAAAUCUUCACAUGUAAAUAGAUAUUACUUCUAGAGGAGCUUAGAGUUUAUUGCAGUUUAGCUUAGGGGAGCAACCUAUGGCUCACAGGUCACUAAGCGUCUCCAACAUGACUAUUAAAACUGUCACCUCUGGAAAUACACUAGUGUGAGCCUUCAGCACUGCGAGAAUACCUUCAAGUACAGUAUUUUUCUUUUGGAACACUUUUUAAAAUGUAUCUGUUUUUAAGGUUAUUCUAAAUUAUAGUAGCCUCAACUCAUUCUGUCACCAGUAGAAUUCAGCAGUUAAUAUAUUCCAUAUUAUUUCUUUGAAUCAAUUCAUUUUCAGAGCACUUUAAAGUCUGAUAUUUCUUGAUGUGCACUGUGAUGCCUGGAACCUUCCUCUGGAAGUGCUGGUUUUAUGGAUUGAGGACUGGUAACUGGUCUGUGAUAGAAGCAAAUUCCAAUUCCAAAUGUAAUUAGACAAAAAGCACUUUUUGUGAAUGUGUUUUUAUUGUAAAUGUAUCUUUUUCAGCUUCCUGUUCUAUUGUCUUUUUUCAGAUAAAACAUUUUUGUCUGUGGUGAACUGCUGUAAAUGAUGCAGAGAAAUGCCUAAAAAGGACAGGUGGUUUGACUAAUGGAUGAUGAUGAUGUCACUGUGUCACUUGGACAGGGCGUUUUCUCUGAAUUGAAGGGAAAGCCAAUGCUGUUUGUAAACAAAUGCUUCUGAGAGCAAACAAAACUCUUCUGUGUGGGAACACAAGAUAGUAAACUUAUUAAAAAACCUAUUAGUAGAAUUAGUGGAAACACUUAGGUUAAAGUGAAUCUUGUCCAUAUAAAUUA